UCCAUCGUGAGGUGGAAUCUGAAGGAAGCUGAAGGCAAAGUCUCGCACCGACGAACAGAAACUACAUAGAAGGCAUACGUGGAAG
rfam:Clostridiales bacterium 38_11 MPI_scaffold_3010, whole genome shotgun sequence.